rnacentral:rRNA from 1 species
GACGAACGCUGGCGGCGUGCUUAACACAUGCAAGUCGAACGGAAAGGCCCUGCUUUUGUUGGGCUCUCGAUUGGCGAACGGGUGAGUAACACGUGUGUAACCUGCCCUUGACUUUGGGAUAACUUUAGGAAACUGGGGCUAAUACCGGAUAUGAGCUCUUGCUGCAUGGUGGGGGUUGGAAAGUUUCGGCUGUUGUGGAUGGACUCGCAGGUUAUCCGCUUGUUGGUGGGGUAGUGGCUUACCAAGCCUGUGACGGGUAGCCGGCCUGGGAGGGUGAACGGCCACAUGGAGACUGAGAUACGGCGCAGACGCGUACGGGAGGCAACGGGGGGGAAUAUUGCAGAGUAAGGGGGAGCCUGAGGCGGAGACGCCGCGAGCGGAAUAACGGCCUACGGGGUAAAAACAACUGUCGAAUGAAACAAAGAGGGAGUGACGGUAAUGGGUAAGGAAGCACCGGCUAACUACGUG